AGUGAACGCUGGCGGUAGGCCUAACACAUGCAAGUCGAACGGCAGCACAGUAAGAGCUUGCUCUUACGGGUGGCGAGUGGCGGACGGGUGAGGAAUACAUCGGAAUCUACUUUUUCGUGGGGGGUAACGUAGGGAAACUUACGCUAAUACCGCAUACGACCUACGGGUGGAAGCAGGGGAUCUUCGGACCUUGCGCGAUUGAAUGAGCCGAUGUCGGAUUAGCUAGUUGGCGGGGUAAAGGCCCACCAAGGCGACGAUCCGUAGCUGGUCUGAGAGGAUGAUCAGCCACACUGGAACUGGGACACGGUCCAGACUCCUACGGGAGGCAGCAGUGGGGAAUAUUGGACAAUGGGCGCAAGCCUGAUCCAGCCAUACCGCGUGGGUGAAGAAGGCCUUCGGGUUGUAAAGCCCUUUUGUUGGGAAAGAAAAGCAGCAGGUUAAUACCCCGCUGUUCUGACGGUACCCAAAGAAUAAGCACCGGCUAACUUCGUG
rnacentral:rRNA from 1 species